UGAAAAGUGGUCUUCUAGAUCGACUAAGGGGAUGCCCAGUGUCUGCUUGAACACUUCUAUUAAUUUCUAUUUCAAAUUGAAGAAACACUUAUAAAAAGCUCUGCGCUGGGACUUCCGGGAACUGUUCUGAGUUCUGCACAAACACUGACUCAUUUACUCACGACAACCGAAUGCAGCAUAUACUAUUACCGUCCCUAUUCAUAGUGGCUGGGGAUGCAGUUCUUCACACGUCAAAGCUAUUCCAUCUUGGGCAACUCUUACUAUUCAUUAGAGCAUUUUUUAAAAUAUUGAGUUAUAAUCUGCUUUGUAGCGUCCAUGUAUUUGUCCUUGUUCAUUUUCUUGGGGUCUCUGAGAGCAAACUAUACCUUCUUCCAAGUGACAGUCCUUGAAAUAUUUAAAAACUGUCCCUAAGUCUCUCAUGCAACUCAGUCUGCUAAAUACAGCACGGUCAAGAGCCCCAGCAGUAGCACCAGGCCAACACCCACAGGCUGGGGGACCUUGGGGCAAGCUGCCUACCGUCUUUAAGCCCCAGAUUGCUCAGCUGUAACACAGAAAAAAUUUGUAACCUUACUUGCCAUGGGGUGGUGAGGAUGAAGGGAAAUCAAGCAUUUGGAGCACCUGGCACGAUGAUGACAAGCACAUGGUACAGGCUCCAUACCUGUUGGCUAUCGAUCUUCUCUUGGCCCAUUGAGCUAUCACAUCAUGAAGAUUUAGAUCUUGAUUCUCUCGUCUAACACUUACUUAUUCCACCUGGCUUUGUAUCAUCUGUAAAUUGACAAACUUGCUUUUUGUUUUCAUCAAAAAAAUCAAUUUAAAAUAUGGAGCACGAGGGCACCAGCCCAGUGGCAUAGUGGUUAAGGUUGCAUGCUCUGUUCCAUGGCCCAGGGUUCACAGGUUCAAUCCCGGGCGUGGACCUGUACACUGCUCAUCAAGCCAUGCUGUGCUGGCUUCCAUAUACAAAAUAGAGGAAGAUUGGCAUGGAUGUUAGCUCAGGGACAAUCUUCCUCAAAAAAAAAAAAAAAAACCCAAAACAGGACCAUGAGAAGUCCAAGGAGAGAGCUAGGGGGCACUUCAUUAAAGGCCCACCCCAAGGUUGAUAUUGAUUCAUUAAUUUGAGCCCUUUGGCUGUGAUUAUCAGGUUAUUAAUUCACCCAGGUGUCCUUCCCCAGCCAGAUCCCUCCAUCUUCUCUGCAAACAGAUCCUGAGAGGUCGUCAAGUGGCGUGGAGUUGAGGCACAGUGUAUUCUCAUAGUGGCCACUUACAACACCAAUUAAAAUUAUGACUACUGUGUGCCGGACAGAAAAACAAGGUCAACAGCCCGAAGCCUGGAUCCUGACUCUUCAUCUUGUGCAUGAAGAUUAGUCAGCAAUAUCUCAUAUGGUUCCUUCGGUGAGGCUGCACGGAGUCCUUCUGAAAGUAUCUUUUUUCAAUAAGCCAAGAGUUUCGGCAGCUCUGUGCCAGAAACAGGAUGGAAACCAAAUACAUAUUUCUCAUUAUAAGUCACCAUAUUACAACCAUCAACUGGGUGAGCGAGGCCUGAAAUCCAAAAUCAAGGUGUGGGCAGGGUCCGUUCUUUCCGUGGGCUCUCCUACCUCCUGCAGUGGCCCAUAGUCCCUGGAGCUUGUUGGCUGGCAGGUGCAGUGCUUCAAUCUCUGCUUCCACUGUCGCGUGAGUGUCUUCUGCUUGUGUACCUCCAUCUUCACAGUGUCUUCAAACAGUGCACGUCUGUGUCUGUGUCCACAUUGCCCCCUCUUCUAAGGACACCAGUCAUGCUGGAUUCGGCUCUCUUUCUGUUCCAUUGGUCUAGUCUUUCUCUACCCCCACCAGAAUGUCAGUGUUCUGAUUACCAUAACUUAAAAUAAGUUUAAUAUCAAGUAGUGCGAGUCUAAGUGCAAUCACUGAAAUUUUAUAUAUUUAGAUGUGUACCCACCACUAGAUCAGGAUAAGAGUAUUCUCACCACUGCAGAGGCUCCUCACUCCCUUUUCACUCAAACCUCCCUCCUCAGAGACAAC
ensembl:lncRNA